AUAAACGUUGUUGUCUUUGGUAACAACAUAUCAUUUGAUCACGAACAGGUUUAAGGACUAAACGACAAAUCCUCCUUUGUCGAGUCUAAAUAGUCCUAAGGACUUCACCACAACACAGGAGUUCAUUAGAAGAUGAAACAAUUUAUGAUGAAAAAUACCAAAAUAAUUUUUAUUAGUUUAUAAUUCAUAUACUAAUACA
rnacentral:lncRNA from 1 species